rnacentral:rRNA from 1 species
UACGUAGGGAGCAAGCGUUGUUCGGAUUUACUGGGCGUAAAGGGCGCGUAGGCGGCAGAUCAAGUCAGUUGUGAAAUCUCUGAGCUUAACUCAGAACUGUCAACUGAUACUGCUCUGCUAGAGUGCGGAAGGGGCAAUCGGAAUUCUUGGUGUAGCGGUGAAAUGCGUAGAUAUCAAGAGGAACACCUGAGGUGAAGACGGGUUGCUGGGCCGACACUGACGCUGAGUGCGCGAAAGCCAGGGAGCAAACGGG